ACUCAGAUGAGCCCAGAGAAAACUGAAGAAGAGAGAGCCGGUCUUUAGUGGGCUCAGGCUGGGACCAUUGGCUCAGACAGGCCUCUCAGGACUUCAUAUCUCUGCACCGUCGCCUGUGCCUUUAGAUUUCAUCACUCUACACUAAUUUUCACAGCUGUACUGUAAAAUCCAUAGGAAACUCUCAGAAGCUACUGAAAAGUCUAGACUCCAGGCCUCUUCCAGUCCACCUUCUCUCGGCAUUUCUGCACCAGCUCCCACCUGGCGAUGUGAAACUUCUGGUUGCUUUUCUGCAAACAUCCCCCUAUGCAUGAGACCCACCAAGGCUUCAGGCACCUCCCUCAAUUUGAAAUGGAAACUGAAAUCAACAAAAAAGAAUGAAGAUGGCUGGAAAUGGAAAAAAUAUAAAACAUGUAUUAAUUUUUUAGUGUCUUCAAAUGAUUAGCUUUUUAGGUUAUUCGAAAGAUGGCUAUGUAAAGCAAAUAUAUGUAGUGGGUUUUUUUUUAUAGUGGUUUUUAUAAUAUAUGUAGAAGUAUAUUAAAAUAGCAAAACAUUUAGAAAGGGAGAAAAUGUAAGUAUGUUAUUGCAAAUUUCUUAGCUAAAGUAGUAUAAUAUUAUUUUAAAUGGGUUACAAUAAGUUAAAGAUGCAUGCUGUAAACCAUAACAGGUUUAGUUAAUAUAGGCUUUGAAAUAAGACACAAUGAUUUU
rnacentral:lncRNA from 10 species